GGAGGUUCUCAAUUCGACUGUAUUUUUUUUUUUUAUGUAUGUUACAUCAGAACUUUUGACCGGGUAGACCGAUUUCGACAAAUUUUGUUUUAAUUGAAAGGUUGUGUGUGCCAAUUGGUCCCAUUUAAAUUUAUUUGAGAUCUAACAACUACUUUUCGAGUUAUAUCUAAUAAUGCGUUUUUACUUGACGCUCUUUUCGUCGACCUACGUUGUAUUAUACCGCAUAACUUUCUACUGGAUGUACCGAUUUUGAUAAUUCUUUUUUUGUUAGAAAGGGGAUCCCUAGUUUGGUACCAUGAUAAGGAAACCAGGAUCUGAUGAUGGGAUCCCAGAGAAAUCGAGGGAAACUCUCGAAAAUCCGCAAUAACUUAGUACUGGGUGUACCGAUUUUGAUAAUUCUUUUUUUGUUGGAAAGAAGAUAUCCCUAUUUUAGUACCAUGAUAAGGAAACCAGGAUCUGAUGAUGGGAUCUUAGAGAAAUCGAGAGAAACUC
rnacentral:misc_RNA from 1 species